rnacentral:rRNA from 1 species
CUUUCAGCAACGGAUCUCUUGGCUCUCGCAUCGAUGAAGAACGCAGCGAAAUGCGAUAAGUAAUGUGAAUUGCAGAAUUCAGUGAAUCAUCGAAUCUUUGAACGCACCUUGCGCCCUUUGGCUAUUCCGAAGGGCAUGCCUGUUUGAGUAUCAUG